AACCAUUUUUUAGACGAGGUUAAAAUGGCUGCACUUCACGGCGGAGAUGGUGGCAACGACCCUCCAAACUGGGGGUGGAAUCCCGAAUGGGGUUGUAGGCGUACGGGUGGUAUUAGCACAGGGAGAGCUGCUGCUGCUAACAACGAUCUAGAGCGCGAGUUUCAGAAUUCGGG